CGUAACAAGGUUUCCGUAGGUGAACCUGCGAAAGGAACAUUU
rnacentral:rRNA from 1 species